rnacentral:rRNA from 1 species
CCUACGGGUGGCAGCAGUGGGGGAUAUUGCACAAUGGGGGGAACCCUGAUGCAGCGACGCCGCGUGGGUGAAGGAGUGCUUCGGCAUGUAAAGCCCUAUCGGCAGGGAAGAAGCAAGACGGUACCUGACUAAGAAGCCCAGGCUAACUACGAGCCAGCAGCCGCGGUAAUCCGGAGGGGGCGAGCGUUAUCCGGAUUGACUGGGGUUAAAGGGAGCGUAGACGGGCAUGCAAGCCAGGGGUGAAAGCCCGGGGCCCAACCGCGGGAUUGCCCUUGGAACUGCAGGGCUGGAGGGCGGGAGGGGAAGGCGGAAUUCCUGGUGUAGCGGUGAAAUGCUUAGAUAUCAGGAGGAACACCGGCGGCGAAGGCGAGCUGCUGGACCGCGACUGACGUUGAGGCUCGAAAGCGUGGGGAGCGAACAGGAUUAGAUACCCGUGUAGUC